rnacentral:rRNA from 1 species
ACCUGCCUGUAAGACUGGGAUAACUCCGGCGAAACCGGGGCUAAUACCGGAUGGUUGUUUGAACCGCAUGGUUCAAACAUAACAGGUGGUUCCGGAUACCACUUACAGAUGGGCCCACGACGCAUUAGCAGGUUGGUGAUGUAACGGCUCACCGAGGCAACGAUGCUUAGCCAAGCUGACAGGGUGAUCGGCCAGUCUGACACUGAGACACGGUCCAAACUCCUACUGCAGGAGGCAAUAUGGAAUCUUCCCCGAGGGACUAAAGACUGCCAGGAACGACUCCGCGAGGGGGGUGAAAGUUUUCCCAUCUUAAAGCUCUGUUGUGGAAGGGGAACAAAUAUACCUUCGAAGAGGGCGGGACCUUGACGGCACCUAACCAGAAAGCCACGGCUGACUACGUGCCACCAGCCGCUAUAAUACGUACGUGGCAAGCUUUGUCCUGAAUUAUUGGGCGUAGAGCGCUCGCAGGCCGUUUCUUAGGUCGGAAAUGCAACCGCCCCGCUCAUGCGAAGAGGGUCAAUGUAAGCUGGGCAACUUGAGUGCAGAGAGUGGAGUAGUAUUCCGCGUGUAGCGGAAAAGAGUAUAUAUAGGAAGGAACACCCCUGGCGAAAGCGAUCACCUGGACUGAUACUGACACUGAGAGGCCAA